UGGGGAAUCUUGCACAAUGGGGGAAACCCUGAUGCAGCGACGCCGCGUGAACGAUGAAGCCCUUCGGGUUGUAAAGCUCUUUCGGACGGAACGAAAUGGUCAGGGUGAAUAUCCCUGACUGAUGACGGUACUGUAAGAAGAAGCACCGGCUAACUACGUGCCAGCAGCCGCGGUAAUACGUAGGGUGCAAGCGUUGUCCGGAUUUAUUGGGCGUAAAGAGCUCGUAGGCGGUUGCGUAAGUCGGAUGUGAAAACUCAGGGCUCAACCCUGAGACGCCAUCCGAUACUGCGCUGACUUGAAUCCAGUAGGGGAGUGUGGAAUUCCUGGUGUAGCGGUGAAAUGCGCAGAUAUCAAGAGGAACACCCAUGGCGAAGGCAGCACUCUGGGCUGGUAUUGACGCUGAGGAGCGAAAGCAUGGGUAGCGAACAGGAUUAGAUACCCCUGUAGUCCCUGAGCGGGCUGGCAAGGCGCAU
rnacentral:rRNA from 1 species